rnacentral:rRNA from 1 species
ACUAACAACCAGCACUAAUACACCAGAUCCUAUCAGAACUCCGAAGUUAAGCAUGCUUGGGCAAGAGCAGUACUAGGAUGGGUGACCCCCUGGAAAUUCCUCAUGUUGCACCA